rnacentral:rRNA from 1 species
UACCAGCCCCCUGAGUGGUAGGGACGAUUAUUUGGCCUAAAGCGUCCGUAGUCGGCUCAGUAAGUCUUUUGUUAAAUCUAACGAUUCAAUCGUUAGGCCGCGUUAGAUACUGCUGGGCUAGAGGAUGGGAGAGGUCGACGGUAGUCCUGGGGUAGGGGUGAAAUCCUAUAAUCCUAGGAGGACCACCAGUGGCGAAGGCGGUCGACUAGAACAUGCCUGACGGUGAGGGACGAAAGCUGGGGGAGCGAACCGGAUUAGACACCCGGGUAGUCCCAGCUGUAAACGAUGCGAGCUAGGUGUCGGAGCAGCUACGAGCUGCUCCAGUGCCGCAGAGAAGUCGUUAAGCUCGCCACCUGGGAAGUACGGUCGCAAGACUAGAAACUUAAAGGAGUUGGCGGGGGAGCACCACGAAGGGGUGAAGGCUGCGGUUU